UGGAUCACCUCCUAACAGGGAGACAUUGAAAAGAUUGUGUUGUCUGAGCAAAUUAUUCUUAGGCCGCAAUCCUGUCACCUUAGGUCGAUCGGUAUCUCAGAUUUUUGAAUUAAUUUAUAAUUAAUCCUUAAAUUUCAGUUCCUAAACUUGUCUAGGUCACACCCAACAAGGGUUUCUCCUGGGCCAUUAGCUCAGGUGGUUAGAGCGCACCCCUGAUAAGGGUGAGGUCCCUGGUUCAAGUCCAGGAUGGCCCAUUCGUUGUUGGGGGUAUAGCUCAGUUGGUAGAGCGCCUGCUUUGCAAGCAGGAUGUCAGCGGUUCGAGUCCGCUUACCUCCACUGAAAACUACCCUGAUAACUAAACUUCAGGAGAAAAAUUUAAAUGUGACUUAGAAUUGUCUAUUUGAUAAAGAACCUAGCUUCUUAUCAUCUUUUUAUAGUUGAUAACAUGCUGGGCUCACAUGGAAUUAUCCAUGAGAAUUCAGUAGAACCUUGAAAACUGCAUAGAUUGAAAGAAUAAAGCAUCUCAUGGAUGCAUAAUUCUAUUUUUAUUAUUUAUCUAUCAAGAUAAAUAAUAAAUUUCAGAAUACAUGUUUAAUUCUUGAGUAAUAGCCGAGCACAAUUGAUUUUGUGUUUGUAUUUAAGGUCAAGCUACAAAGGGCUCAUGGCGGAUACCUUGGCACACAGAGGCGAUGAAGG
rnacentral:tRNA from 1 species